UGUAGUACAUGUCUGUAACCUGAAUAAGAAAACCCUAGACUUCUGGCUCUGGCGUUGUCUUCUCCUUCUUUGUUUUCAGAAACUUUUCAUCUUCGUUUGAAUCAUCUGUGGCAUUGAAACGCAUCCGUUUGUUUCUUCUUCAUGAUUAAUCUCCAUUACUUCAGUUACCACGAUGUAGCCUUGACUGCAUGCUUUGAUUAGGAGUCGGUGAACCUGAGCGUAUAAAUAGGCCAGCUUUCUUUCUCUUACAGUCAUCUUAUUAAUCUGUUUAAACAGGAAAACACAUUUUUCUGAGAUAUAGCUAACUCCCAAGUUUUCCUUACCGAGAUGGAGUCUGGAAGAUGUUCUUCGAAAGUUGAAGUUAGAUUGCUGCGAUUCUGGGAGUAUAGAUAUGUUAGGCGUGGUGGUGAAACUGAUCAUAUCACAGUCGAUAUGUUUUUGAUUGAUUGGAAGGGAACUCUCUUGCCAGCCACUGUGAAUGCAAGCCGUGUUCCAACCUUCCGACCUCAUCUCACGGCGGGAGCGAUAUAUUCUAUCGCCGGAUUUGAUGUGGCUCUGUUGUAAUCAAAACUUCAGGCUGUCUGACUCCUCCCUUUUGGUUCGAUUCGGUGAUGCAACCUCCUUAAGGAUGUUUCUGUGACCUUGAGUAUGUUCGACUCAACAACAGUUUCGUUUCACAAAAGACUCAAAGCCAUGCGUGGUGAUCCAA